AAGCGGGCGAACGAAUGACGUGAGUGGGUUUCACUCCCCAGCCAGCCCGUUAAAAGGCCAGUGGAGUCGCGCUCGAAGGGCCCUACUUUGCGGCGCGGAGGAGCAUCGUGAUGGCGAUUUGUAGUCCGACGAUCGUUGAGCCGGCCUCCGAUUGGCUGGUUCGUACCUGCAAUGCGUCACUCGAGCUCGCAGCCGCCGCCGGGACGCGGUGCGGCUUCUGCCGUUGCUGGUCUGGCCGCGCUGUCCUGGCAACUGCGCCAGGCGGCAGAGUCGCUUCCCUUGCGCUUGGCUGGAGAACCUUCCUCCUCCACCCAUCCUUCUCUCCCACACUCACACACACACUUUCCCGCCCCUUGUGCAGGGGUAGGCGAAAACACCUUAGGCAGAUAAUGACGCUGAAAGACCCCAGGAAACCUGUACCCCGCGCUCAGCUUCUCGGCCUCGUGGAGGUCACACGUUUUCCAUUUUACUCCUUCACGAAACCAAUAAAAAUCUAGGUAUGUACCCAGAAGAACUGAAAGUAAGAUCUUGAAGAGCUAUUGGUAUGCCCAUAUUCAAGGCAGCGUUAUUCGCUAUAGCUAAAACUUGGAAGCAACACAAGAAUGGAUAAGCAAAAUGUGGUAUAUACAUACAAUGGAAUGUUAUUCAGCCUUGAAAAGGAAGAAAAUUCUACAACAUGCCACCACAUGAAUGAACCUUGCGGACAUUAUGUGAAUCAGCUCUGAGUUUUCCUCUGCAUAACCAAAAAGCCCAGUGUUUUUCCCAAAACAAAAAACGGUCUUUUCUGCAGCCUCCGGAGCUCUUCCAAAUUGUCACCUAGGAUGAAUAUGACAGCAAACAAUGCUUUAAAAGAGCCAGCUCUGUGGUUCCCGGCUCUCCCCAGCCAAACUGUGCUUACGUUUCAUAGGGUCACUGACCUUUCUUUCCUUGCUGCUCCAACAACUGCUAUCUUUGCAGCUCUUCUUCCAUCUGCUGCCUUGUUUUUUGUUCCAUGGCCAUUGUGGUUGAGUACGUCCUUUGUCUGAGCUGGGACAGACAACUCCUGGCUGAGAAGCAUCCCGGAAGGCUCAGAGCCGUCCCUCUGUGCAGUAUGCAACCACUCAACACCAUCUGGGGGACCCACUAGCCAAGAUGCUCUGAGGUGGGGCACUCAGGGUUGCCAGCCUUAUCAGUGAAAUAUGGAAAGACAGAAAUAAAGAAGCAAUUUCAAGA